rnacentral:rRNA from 1 species
GACGAACCGUGCGAACGUUGUUCGGAUUCACUGGGCUUAAAGGGCGCGUAGGCGGGCAAGCCAGUCCGGGGUGAAAUCUUUCGGCUCAACCGGAAAAGUGCCUUGGAUACUGCUUGUCUAGAGGGAGGUAGGGGUCGCGGGAACUUCCGGUGGAGCGGUGAAAUGCGUUGAUAUCGGAAGGAACACCAGUGGCGAAGGCGAGUCCCUGGACAACACCUGACACUGAGGCACGAAAGCUGGGGGAGCAAACAGG